rnacentral:rRNA from 1 species
GGCUCUCUGUUUACAUAAAUAUAGGGAGUCGAGCCUGCCCAGUGAAUUUUUAAACGGCCGCGGUACUCUGACCGUGCAAAGGUAGCAUAAUCAUUUGCCUUAUAAUUGAAGGCUAGUAUGAAUGGUUUGACGAGAGCAACACUGUCUCCUUUUUAUUUUCAAGAACUUAACUUUUAGGUGAAGAGGCCUAAAUUUUAUUGAAGGACAAGAAGACCCUAUCGAGCUUAAAAGACAUUAUAGAAGUUUAUAUAUUUCUAAAUAAAUUUUCUAUUGAGCUUUUUAGUUGGGGCGACUAAGGAACAAAAAAAGCUUCUUGCUGAUAAUAGACAGUCAUGUUUAGAUCCGAUAAUAAUCGAUCAAAGAAAUUAGUUACCGUAGGGAUAACAGCAUAAUCUCUCUUGAGAGACCUAAUCGAAAGAGGGGGUUGUGACCUCGAUGUUGGACUAGAAUAUCCUAAAGAUGUAGAAGUCUUUGAAAGGUCGGUCUGUUCGACCGUUUAAAAUUCU